CCUACGGGAGGCAGCAGUGGGGAAUAUUGCACAAUGGGCGAAACCCUGAUGCAGCCACGCCGCGUGAGCGAUGAAGUCUUUCGGUAUGUAAAGCUCUAUCAGCAGGGAAGAAAGUGACGGUACCUGACUCAAAAGCACCGGCUAACUCCGGGCCAGCAACCGCGGUAAUACGUAGGGGGCGAGCGUUAACCGGAUUUACUGGGUGUAAAGGGAGCGUAGACGGCGGUGCAAGCCAGAUGUGAAAGCCCGGGGCUCAACCCCGGGACUGCAUUUGGAACUGGAUAGCUGGAGUGUCGGAGAGGCAGGUGGAAUUCCUGGUGUAGCGGUGAAAUGCGUAGAGAUUAGGAGGAACACCAGUGGCGAAGGCGGCCUGCUGGACGAGGACUGACGGUGAGGCUCGAAAGCGUGGGGAGCAAACAGGAUUAGAUACCCGGGUAGUC
rnacentral:rRNA from 1 species